rnacentral:sRNA from 1 species
CGGAUGCUAACGCAAUGUGAUU